CCCGUUAUACGUAAACGGAACGCGGAGGCGUAUGCUGGGCCAUCCUGCUCAAUUCGACCUCGCCGCCGGCCACCCACUCACCCACCCCGCCGUGAGCGAACCCUACCCAGACCUCGCCGGGAACCAGUCCAAGCGGAGGACGCCGCCGAUCACUCCGACGACGAGGACGCCCGCCCGGUAGCGUCUCUCUGGAGGAGAUCAAGUACGUGAGGAAGGAGACAAAGAUGCUGAGGAGGAGGAUCUCGUUAUCCAGGACAGGAGGCCGCCGUCACCAUCGAGGAUUCCAACAUCCGCGUUUAACUUCGUGUUGAGAUAUGUGGAGAAUGAGCUGUUGAAGAAGAGGGGCCAAGAAGAUUGAUGUGAUAGACAAGGAGGAGAAAUGACCAGGUCGAUGAGCUCAAGGUUUUUAGCCGAGUAGAGCUUCGAUGUACUCCUGUUAGGAAGAACUCGGAAGAGAGCUCAACGCAGUGGAUCACCGGCAUUGCUGAAGUUCAUCUGCCUAUUGUUUCUGACGACUGAUUUAAACUGGGGUGUGAAUUUGGAAAUGCAAGCUGUGUUGUGAUGCAAAACCUCAGUGCUGGACCUGCUGAUUGCCUCCUUGUUGCAAAUUAACCAAGCUAAAAUAUGUUCCAGAGAGGCCCUUGGCCAUGAGGGAUGCGUGUGUGCCCUUCUCCACAACUGUCCCUUUUUCGAGCACAGUGAUAAGGUCGCAGUUUUGUAUAGUGCUGAGCCUGUGUGCGACCACCACACUUGUUCUGCCAAUCAUCACCCGAUCCAGUGCCUCUUGUACCACUUUCUCAGACUGGCUGUCUAGCGCACUUGUAGCCUCAUCCAGAAGUAGGAUAGCUGGGUUCUUCAGGAUGGCACGGGCAAUUGCAAUGCGUUGUUUCUGCCCUCCUGAUAACUGAACUCCUCUCUCACCACACCACGUGUCAUAUCCAUCCUUCAGGUUGCUGAUGAAGUCAUGUGCAUUAGCAGAUCUUGCUGCAUCCUCAAUUUCCGCCUCACUAGCCGUUUCUGUGCCAUACACAAUGUUUUCUCUGAUUGUACCUGCAAAUAGUGUUGGCUCUUGGCUGACCAGUCCAAUGUGCCGCCGCAGGGCUCGAAGAUUAUAUGCUUUGAUAUCCCUUCCAUCUAUCUUCACCGACCCCCUAAUUGGGUCGUAGAACCUCUCUAUGAGCCCAAUGAUGGUUGACUUGCCAGAGCCACUUUGCCCAACCAGGGCUGUUGACUUGCCUGGUUGGAUGCUCAAUGUGAACCCUUUGAAGAUUAUAACAUCUGGCCUUGAUGGGUAUGCAAAAUCGACUCCUCUGAUGUCCACCUCGCCUUUGAGCUUCUCUGGCUUGUAUCCCUGAGGGUUGUCAGGAUCAAUUUCUGUUUCCCGGUCAAGAACAGCAAAUACUGAAGCAACUGCAUCUGCACCCUUAGCUAGGUCUGUUGUCAUGCUUCCUGCAUCUGCAAUCACACGACCUGUGCUUACUAGAAUCAUGAAGGUUUGGAAGAGCUCCUUAGCACUAAUGUGGUGCUCAGCCAUAAGCCUGCCACCAUACCAAAAGUCAAGGGCCCAUGUGCAUGUCAUAAGGCUCAUGGAGGUGCCGAGUCCGAGCCCUGCAAACCAUGAUUGCCGGAUGCUUUCCUUGCGUGGUCCAUCUUGUGAUUGUUCAAAAAGGCGUAAGAUGCGCUCUUGGGAUGAGAAGGCUGUAAUUGUACGAAGAUUGGAGACUGCCUCAGCAGCUAGCUUGCUACUUUCAGCUUGUGCAUGUAUUGAUUUCUUGGACAUGCUCUUGAGUAAGACACGGCGAGCAUAAAAGCAAACAAUGAUCAGAGGCUGCACUGCUAUCAUAACAAGGGCCAAACGCCAGGCAAUGACCAGACCCAUGGUGCAUGCAAUAAGCACUGCUGAAAUAGUCUGGAUCACCAGAGCCAUUCGAUCACCCACGAGAGACCUCACCUACAACAACAACAAAAGUAUGGCAGCUAGCUGUGAGCAUAUGGCACCACUGGAGUUCUCGUCACGGUCAAACCACCCAAUUUCGAAGAUUUAUCUUCUAGGAAACAAGUUAUGUUUCCUGGCGAAUAAAAAAGAAGUCAAGAGGCAAAACUUCUAUACAAAUAGAAAGAUGCAAGGUCUGCUGGAGAGGAACUAUGCUGAAGCAGCGGCAAGGAAAGCUGCACCUCAAGGACUGCCAUAGUCUUCAGCGCCUGAUUGGGGCCCUGAGGCAGCUGGGAGAUGAAGUUGUGUGCGUUGGCCGCCUUGGCGGCGGCGACCACCUCCUCCGCCGUGGCCUCCUCCUUUCCGAACAGGAUGUUCUCCCUGAUGCUGGUGGCGAACAGCGCCGGCUCCUGGCUCACCAGCCCCAUCUGCGCUCGCAGCCACUUUAGCCGGAGCCUCCGGAUGUCCACGCCGUCGACCAUCACCUCGCCGGCCGACGGGUCGUAGAACCGCUCCAGCAGCGCGAUCACCGUCGACUUGCCGGACCCGCUACCGCCGACCAGCGCCACGGUGCGCCCCGCCGGCACGCGGAGGUUGAAGCUGACGAAGAUGGGGCUCUCUGGCCGCGACGGGUAGCAGAACUCCACGUUCCGGAACUCCACCUCGCCGGUGACGUUGGCCAGCUCCUCACCGGUGUCGCUCUCGGAGUCGAUCUUCGGCACCCGCCGGAUCACCUCCAGGAUCCUCUCCGCCGCCGAGCUCGCCUCCGAGAAGUACUUCACGUUGGACAGCCCCGACCCCAGCGCUCUGCAAUCCCAUGCAAAAGGCCACCGACGACAAUGGCGGCGGAGACGGCGAAGACGGUGCCGCCCUGGUAUCCAUGGUACAUGACGAGGCGGCUGCCGUACCAGACGUUGAAGGCCCAGAUGGCGAAGGUGAUGCCGUUGCUGCCGACGGCGAUGCCCUUGGCGAGCCCCUGCUUGAGCCCGAGCCGCGCCGACUCCUCGAGCGCUGCCGAGAACUGAGCCAUGGUGGUCCGCUCCGCCACGAACGAGUACACCGUGCGCGCCGACGACACGGCCUGCUCGGCGAUGGCGCCGGGGCGGGUGUACUGCUCCCUGAUCCGGCGGGCGAGGCCGACGAGGAUGCGGCCGUACAUGAACCCCGGGAUGAUGAGCAGCACCACCGACGGCAGCGCCACCAGCGUCAGCCGCCACAGCAGCGCGAACCCGACGGCGUAGCUGCCGGCGAACAUGGCGGCGUUCAUGACGAAGUUGGGCACCUUCUCGCUCAGCACGUCCUGCACCACGAGGCUGUCGUUGGACACGCUGGUGAUCACCUCCGCCGUCGACCCCUUCUUCAGGUCGAAGUACUCCACGUCUUGCCGGAGCACCGCCCGAAGGUACCGUGCCCGCAUCCGCGAUGCCUGCCGCUCCGCCGUCCUCGCCCAGCAAUACCCCUCUGCUCACACACACGACACCCCUCGCCGGCGGCGUCAGCUCGCCGUCGCCGCAGCAUUGGCAUGCAACAGUUCAGGAUCGAGCUGGGCGGCGAGGAGCUACAAGGUACGUACCACGUUGACCUUGGAGCUGAACUCCUUGACGAUGUCGGCGCCACUGCCGAGGUCGUUGAAGAUGCGGCUGGUGAUGAGCAGCAUCACCGGCGUCGAGAUGCCGUCGCCCAUGGCGCCCAGAAGCCCAAGCACCAUCAGCGCCACGUCCGCCGCGUCCGCGUGCAUGAACACUGUCAUGAACGACGAGAACACCGGCCUCGCCUUCGCCUUGCCGGCGCCGCCGUCGCCGCCUCCCAUGGCCGUCGUCGGCGAGUUCUCAGCUAUAGCUUGGUAGCUAUCUAGCUCAAUUUGCUGUCUCCAAGUGUGACAGCUAGUUGUAAUUGAGUUGGUAUAGCUUUGGCCUCUUCUUUUAUUUUUUUCAGGCCGUUUAGAUGGUAACCUCUCUGACUUGAGAGAGUUAGAGAGGCCUUGUAUAUACGGAGUAUAUAGUACUCCAGUUUAGUUGCCAUGCCAGCAGUUGCAUGCACUAGUAAGCAACUAGUCUCUCGGUUUCAUAUUA